AAGAUGCUGGAGCCAGUGUGACACCAAAGACUAUGCACUUAACCCCUGAAGUAACCCCUAUUAUUGAAUUUCAGCUCCACCUCCCGAUCCCUUCAGUUCUGCCUGUCUUUCCUCUACGUUAGAUGUCUAAGGAAUCUGAGGUAACCAAAGCAACGCGGAUAAAACCAGACCUCCCAGCAUGCUAGAGGGACACGGAAAGUUCUUCUAAAUGGCGGCGGUGGGAAGGAGGGGCAGCACUUCCGCUGGUGUCUCUGCACUUUCUCUCUGACUCUGGUACCUAAAAGUGGACUUGUUGGAUCAUAUGGAAACUCUUAUGUUUCAAGUUUUGAGGAGGAAUUUCCAUUUCUAAACCUCAGCUGAUCUGCCUGCAAGAAAAAAGAGAAAUGCCGUGGAUUCCAGAUGUAAGGGAAAUUCAGGAUGAAGAGGACCAAAGCACUUGACCAAAUAUUGAACCACCCCUGCAGCCCAGGAAUUUUAGCCACUGUUUUCUAAAUUGGCGCCAGUGCUAUUACCUUAUACCAAAGUAUCCCUCAACCUCAUUACCCAUGGCUUCCCACCAAGUUGCCUCUCUGGUGAACACAAGAGUUGUGAUGAAUUAGAAGAUAGCAGAGGCAAAGGUCUAAGGAAAGGCUGAGCACAUCACCUGGAAUGAUGGCCUCCAUCACGUACCUUUUACUUCCCACCUCUCAAACUGUGGAUACAUCUGCUGACCUCUCUGAACGUCAGUUUCCUGAUCUGUAAACAGGAAUAACAACACCUUGUCAACAGUGGGAAGAUUAGAUAAGAUCCUGUAUAUGAAAAAUUUGUGGCAUAAUGCCUGGCAACCUAGUAGAUGUGUAAGUAGAACAAAGUAUGAUAUCCCCAAAUCUCUCAUUCCACAACCACAAAAUUCACAUUAUGGGAACAUCUAGAAAUGGAAGAAAUGAUUGUGAGAUUUUUUUUUUAUCACCACAGACCUGGACAAAAGCACUCCUUUGCUCCAUAAUAGUCUGUGACUCCCGUUGGUGUCAGGAUGGCCCAAACUUCUUAGCAUGAAUAUGAAGUCCUUUAGGACAUACUCCCUUCCUACGAUUUCAGCCUUAUCUGUUUUCAACCCCUACUCUCUCCAAACUUGACACCCUAUGAGCCGUGAAUCAUAUGGAAUAUCCCAGUUGUCUGAAAGCACCAUGCCCACCCUCCUUUCUGGGCACUUAAAAAAUGUUCUUUCCAAAAAAAAAAAUAUUCUUUCCUAUACCUGAAAUGAUAUUCACUGUACUAAUUUCUGUUUAUCAUUCCAUACAGUUCAGAUGCCAUCUACUCAAGAAGAUUUCUGUAGCCUCCUGAUGGCCUGGCUGGGUUAAAUGCUCCAUCUCUGUGCUUUCCUAGUGCUCAAAGUGUUUUAUUGCUAUCCUAAUGCUCUCAGUGUUCUGUUGGAAUACUCUCCCUCAACUAUCUCUUCCAUCUCUCUGAGGUCCUUGAGGGGACUGGAUUUUGAGAUCCAUAGUGCCUACCACACAGUAGUGCUGAAUAAAUGCUUAUUCAGCAUUUAUUGCCAACACAAGUAAGACUGUUUAAGGAAGUGCAAGUUUUAGACAGACUUCUAUUGUGAUAAGAACACUUAACGUGCAAUCUGGCCUCUUAACAGAUUUUAACUGCAUGUUAUUGUUGACAUUAGGUGCAGUGUUGUAUGGAAGAUCUCUACAGUUUAUUCAUUUUACUUAAUUUAUGCUUGUGGAUUAAUAACUGCCUAAUAAUUAAUAACUGCCUAUUUUCUCCUCCCCCUGAGUCCCUGUUAACUACCAUUCCAGUUUGAUUUUAUGAAUUUAACUAUCGUAGAUAACUCCUGUAAGUGGAAUCAUGCAGUACUUGUACUUUUUUGGCCUGGCUUAUUUCACUUUGCAUAAAUAUCCUCCAGGUUCAUGCAUACUGUCACACAUUGCAGAAGUUGCUUCUUUUUUAAGGCUGAAAAGUAUUACACUGUACGUAUACACCACAUGGCCUACCUUCAUGGCCUGCCUUUAUUCCUUUGCAUGUGGACUUCCAGUUUCUCCAACACCAUUUGUUGAGGAGAUUGUCCUUUUUCCAUUGAAUGACCUUGGCACCUUUGUUAAAAAUCAACUGACCACAUACACAAAGGUUUAUUUCUGACUCUUCUAUUCCACUGGUAUAUAUGUCUGUCUUUAUGCCAGAACCACACUGUUUUUUUUUUAUUACUGUACCUUUGUAGUAAGUUUUGAAAUUAGGAAGUGUGAAUCCUCCACCUUUGUUCAUUCUUUUCCAAACUGUUUGGGGUCCCUUUGAGAGUCUAUAUGAAUUAUAAGAUGGAUUUUUCUAUAUCUGCAAAACAUGUCAUUGGUAUUCUGACAGGUAUUACAUUAAAUCUAUAGAAUGCUUUGAGUACUAUUGACAUCUUAAUAAUGUUAAAUCUUCCAAUAAAUG